UACGUAGGGUGCAAGCGUUGUCCGGAAUUAUUGGGCGUAAAGAGCUCGUAGGCGGUUUGUCGCGUCUGCUGUGAAAACUCGGGGCUUAACCCCGGGCCUGCAGUGGGUACGGGCAGACUAGAGUGCGGUAGGGGAGACUGGAAUUCCUGGUGUAGCGGUGAAAUGCGCAGAUAUCAGGAGGAACACCGGUGGCGAAGGCGGGUCACUGGGCCGCAACUGACGCUGAGGAGCGAAAGCAUGGGGGAGCGAACAGG
rnacentral:rRNA from 1 species